rnacentral:lncRNA from 1 species
UGUACAAAUACUUAACUCUAAAGUCAUGAGUGUUAAAAAACAAGAAAUACAAAGCCAUACAAUAACUACAAGCAGAAAAGUUGCACUAAAGAGCAAAAGGCAACAGUGAAGACAUUUGGAGAUUUUAUAGCAUUUCUGUAAGUACUGCAAAUCCCCACACUGGCUGCCAGGACCCCUGGCCGGAUGGUGAUCAUGGUGCUGGGGUGUUGGUUAGAUUGCACCUCCAGGGUAGCAAAGGGUGUUUGCUAAUUAUUGGAGUGGAGAUGGUUACCAAGCCGCCUGUCUCUGAAAAUCUUGCAGAGAUAUUUUCUUUGUACCACAAGGCUAAAAUUAAGCAGUGCGAUGUUUUGUGAUAUAAAAGUGUGGGUUUCUCGGCCAAAGAGUUUCCCAAAACUGUCACUGCCAGACUUUCCCAGGGACCAGCACUCCAGAGGGUUAAAACAGUUUCCCAUCAGUGACUGUCUUUCAAGAGGUCAGCAAACAAGUGAUUUGCAGUUCCUAUUCCCCUUGGGAAACUUGGCUUCCUAGCAAAUUGCAAUAUGAAAAGCUGACUAGAAUUUCUCUAAGAUAAGUUUAGCUCAUUAAAUGAUUAUCUUGUUGUAACCAAAACCCAGACACUGUGUUAAAUAUUGCAGAUUUAUGUAGAGA